rnacentral:lncRNA from 1 species
ACGGAUAAGUAAAUUGAAAUCACAACUUAUGAAAUCACAACCGAAGGUAAUCAAUUCAUAUUACAAAUAUAUUCAUGGUUUUGAAUUAACCUCUAGCCAAAAUAAAAUUUAAUUACACAUUAUUAAAACAGAAAUAAAAUAGAAGUUUGGAAAGAUUUAACCGAGAGCGAGAGUGUUUCUGCUUCCUGUGCGCUGACCUCCUUCGUUCUGCCUUCUUCUUGACCUCCACGUCAGCUCCUGGCUCCCACGCUGCUCUGACUUCUCCUCUCGUCUCACCCAGUCCGAGUCCUCCUCGGUUUUCUGCUGCAGCAAGGCAGCUGUCUGCUCCUCUUUCCUCUCCGCAGCUUCACGCUGCCCAAAGGGCAGCCCUCUGCCUUCCACCAAUUCCCCAUUUCACGUUUGACCUCUCUGCUCCUUUAUGCCGUCUCAAUGCACUAACUCCUUCCUUUUUUUUUAUUUUUCUUCCAAUCCGUGUCCUCCCGUAGUUGUCUCACAGUUGCCAAAGGCAGCCCACUCCUCUUCUUCUAUUAUUUUCCCUUUUUUCCUUGCGCCUGACUCCCAUGUGGACUCCUGCUUUUUCUUUCUCUUCUUUUUUUUUUAUCUUUUCCUUUAUACUCUCUCCAGCUCACGCUUCAUCCUCUCCCGCUGCCAAGGGCAGCGCUUUUGACUCCCCUCUGACUUCUCCAGCUGCCAAGACAGCACUCUUUGACCCCCUCUGCAUUUCUGCGCUGUGCUCACCUGUCCAUCCUUCUUUUUCUUUUUUUUUUUUAUUCUUUCCCUCAGUCCCCUAGCUGUCUCUUGGAUCCCUUUUUUUUUUCAUUUGUUCCAGCUGCAAAGGUAGCUUCUUUAUGUUUCUUUUCUUUACUCACCAACUGCAAAACACUUCAAUUUUAGAUAUAUCAUAUAAUUUCUA